rnacentral:rRNA from 1 species
UCGCCUCUUGCAACAACAAAAAUAGAGGUCCCGCCUGCCCUGUGACUAUAAGUUUAACGGCCGCGGUAUUUUGACCGUGCGAAGGUAGCGCAAUCACUUGUYUUUUAAAUGGGGACCUGUAUGAAUGGCACGACGAGGGCUUAACUGUCUCCUUUUUCCAGUCAAUGAAAUUGAUCUCCCCGUGCAGAAGCGGGGAUACUUACAUAAGACGAGAAGACCCUAUGGAGCUUUAGACACCAAAGUAGAUCAUGUUAAGCAUCCCUAAACAAAGGGCCAAACCAGAUAAAACCCUACUCUAAUGUCUUUGGUUGGGGCGACCGCGGGGAAACACAAAACCCCCACGUGGAAUGGGAAUACUUUUCCUACAACUUAGAGCCCCCGCUCUAAUAAACAGAAAUUCUGACCAAUAAGAUCCGGCAACGCCGAUCAACGGACCGAGUUACCCUAGGGAUAACAGCGCAAUCCCCUUUUAGAGCCCAUAUCGACAAGGGGGUUUACGACCUCGAUGUUGGAUCAGGACAUCCUAAUGGUGCAGCCGCUAUUAAGGGUUCGUUUGUUCAACGAUUAAAG